CUGGGUUGAAUUCGUGGCUGUUGCUGGGUCUCCGCAUUUCUAAGGAUUAGCCUCGCUUCAAAUCUACCAAGGAUAGGAGGACCCGAGAAAGAUGCCCACCUCAUGCAUCCUUGCACCCAGAGAAUGGUAGUGUACGCCUUUAAUCCCAAUACCGAGGAGGCUGAGGCUGGAGGAUUGCCUCGAGUUGAGGUCAGUCUGGGUUGCACAGUUAGACCUUAUUUAAAACACACACACACACAGACACACACACACACACACACACGAAGAGGCCUCGGUCAGAAGGCAGUGUCCCCAAUAGGAGCUUGAGACCCGUGGCCUCCUCUAGAUCAUGUGACCAUCCAAGUAUGACUUUUAUUAAUCUUUGCGGGCGAGUACACCAGGAGUCUCAGUCUUGUGCCAAUCACGGCAGGUGAAAAGAAGCUGGCCGCGUAACUCAGUCUACCCUUUUGUGUUACUAAAGGAGGUUGCAAAAAAAUGUAUGACUCCAACCCUUCCCCCCAUCGGAGUUCAGAGAUCAGCUAGUGUGGAGUACUAGUUCUCCAGCAAAAAUAUCAAGGAAGACUGGGCCUGGGCAGAUGGCUCAGUGGUUAAGAACACUGGUUGCUCUAUCAAGAUGAUCUGGGUUUAAUUUUUAGCACGAGAAUGGUGGCUCAAAACCAUCUAGAAUUCCAGUCCCAGGGAUCCAACCCUCUUCUGGCUUCGUAGUCUACAAAACACAUGUACACAGACAUACGUGUAGACAGAAUGUUCAUAUACAU
rnacentral:lncRNA from 1 species